rnacentral:lncRNA from 1 species
CAGAGGGAGCCGCCAGUGCAAAGGCCCUGAGGCAGGGAAUCUCUUCCUGUAGUGGAGGAACGGAAAGGAGGCCAGGGCAUGCCUGCCUUCAAGGAGGGAGCCAGGUGACCCACCACCCCGACACCACCCUCCCCAGCCUCCUGCUGGCUGGACCAGAGCCAAAGCCAGAGGCCAGACAGCCCUGUGGUGUGGGCCACCUCAUCAGCCUUGCAGGUCACAGGGCAGGGUAAGCUGGAAGAGUUGAUGUGAGGACAGAGGGAAGACGUGUGGCCAGGCCUGCGGCCAAGGCCAGGGCUCUGGUGCUCAUCAUGAGUCAGGUGGGGAGCCAUGGAGGGGACGAGCAGAGAGGUGACCAGAUUAGAUUAACUCUUUAAAGUGUCCUCUCACUGCUCUGGAGACCGCAGGCUGUGGAUCCUGGUGGAAGCGGGAGGCUGGUAGGGAGGCAUCUGCUGUGGUCCAGGGGGUGGUGACAUAGCUCCGGCUGAGUGGGGGCAGGGGAGGGAGGGGGCACUGCCGUCCCAGAGUCAAAGCAGAGAAGCCACACCCAGGGACUCCAGGUGCACGAGGACCAGGGAUGGCGCUCAGGUUGAACAAGCAGGGGGUGGCUCUGUCCACACAUAGCAACAGCCCGGACACCUGAACAGAGGGGGACUUCAGGCAUUGUGAGCCCGAGGGGGUCAGAGCCUCGCCCUGGAAACCCCUGAGAACUCCAGCUCUGGCCGCAGCAAGAGAGACAGGAGCGAUGAGUGAGGCGCCCAGGAAUGCCCGGGGCUGGGGUCUGAUAUCCUCCCAUCUCCUUCCUCCUGCCCAUCAGGAGGACUCGCCCUGGGCCGGCUGUCCCCACAUCUCGCUCCUCCCCGUCCAUCAGGAGGACUCGCCCUGGGCCGGCUGUCCCCACAUCUCGCUCCUCCCCGUCCAUCAGGAGGAUGGCCCGCGGCGGGGACAGCUGUUGGCUGAGAAUCAAGGGCUCCUCCAAGUCCACCUUCCACGCCGCCAGCCCCGAGCGUCCAGUAAAACUGCUGGGACUGAGUGAGACGCGGCCUCCAGGGGACGGCUGGCCGGGCCCCGCUCAGCCCCAGGCCCAGGCAGCCUGGCAGAGGGCCCGGCUGCAGGAAGGAGACCAGCUGCGGCGUGUCCUGGAGCAGCCCGUCCACCCGAAGCCCCGUCCAGCUCCACUACUCGCAGGCCAGUUUGAUUUGAGCUCUGCCACUUGCAACCCAGAGACCAAGGAAGGAACUCCAAGGAAACACCUGUUAUAUUGCAGGAAGGUGUGGCAUUAAUUCCGAGAGUCAGGGACCUGGAGGUGAGGAAAGAAGAGUGUGAGAGAUGAGGGUCCCUGGUCCUUUCCCACCAAUAUCCCUCGAGAUGCUGGAAUCCCACCAUCAGCCACUAGAGGAAUUGGGCUGGGGUGUGGGCUCGGCAGGAGGGGCCCUCCAGCGUCACCAGCCCCUCUCCUCCCAGAGGUAGGCAGACAUCCUCCCCUGGGGCCCAGGCUCCCUGCCUGGAGUGAGUGCAGUGCAGCUUAUGGGGAGGGGACGCCCAGAUGCUGCCCUCACAGUCCCACCUUCUCUGAGCCAACAGCCCACCAGGGGCACCGGCCUCUGGCAUCUUCCCUCUCACAUCGGAGGAAACGCCGCUGGAGACGCGGGCAGAGCUGUGUGUUGGCACCAAACACACCUGAGAGCAGGACCGCCCUCUGCCUCCCGCGCUGUGUGACACAGGGCAGGCCCUUGCCCUCCGAGCCUCAGUGUGGCAGCCUGUGACACAGGACAAUGGAAAGGUCCACCCUGCAGGGAGGGAGGCAAUGUGUAUAAAGCCCGGUACACAGCCGGUGCUUAGAAACCCUGUGCGUCCUAGUCCCCAGCAGAACGGCACGGGCAACGGUGCACAGGUAGAAACGGGUCUCCCCUCUGUCCUGAAAUGAGGGGGACAGGAGGGCGAGGCAGGUGGGAAUGUGUGCGGUGUGUGAAGGCAGACCUCACAGGCCACCCGUCCUGACUGUGGAUUCCCAGUUCCUAGUAGGGGUGGAUCUGGUGUAGGAAUUCUCAGCUCGGUGGUCCCGAACCCCAGGGCUGUUCUGAGAAUUGUGGGGGGAUUUUUGAUCAUCAUCAUGAUUGGGGGCCCGUGGACAAGCAGUGCUGUGGCCGGGGGCUCAGACAUCAUGUCCUCAGUACGUGGGACAGUUCUGUACCCCAUCCAGCCGGCUUCCCACGCCCAGCGGACGGUCACGGAGCCGGAAUCCCUCCCAGCUGGGGUCGUGGUUGGGUCUCCUCAGGAGCA